GCGCGUGUGUGUGUGUGUGUGUGUAUGUAUCUAUAUAUGUAUGUGUGUGUAUAUAUAUAGAUAGAUAUAUAUAUAUAUAUAUAUAUAUAUAUAGAUAUAUAUAUAGAUAUACACACACACACAUACACUGCU